rnacentral:lncRNA from 1 species
GAAGUGGAUUUCUACCCAAAUAAACCGUGAACAUGUAUGGUGUCGUUUGCUAACAGCGUCAGUAAACAAUUAGCAUUACUAGCAAGUGAAGCGUGUGACGGACUCUCAACGACAGGUGAAGCUGACGAUGCAGAAGCGCAGACCUCAUCAGCACCGAGCCUCCAGAAAGCAGACGUGAAGCGCCGAGGGUGGAGAUUGAGGCACACCAUGACAGGCACGUAGGAAUGGUGAGCGGGGAGAACCAGCAUUAAGGGCACAGACCACAAAAACAGCUACAGUCUGAUCCGACUGGAAAAUCCCAACAUUCUGUAAGAUGUUGGACUGAAGCAGCUGAUCUUCAUUUACACUGAGGAAGGGCAGAGGCUUGCUGAAGAACUACUGCGAGAUUUCAGCUGCUGUCUGGGCCUUCACUGCCCAAAUACACCUCCCUUUCUUCAUGUGUUCAACGCAGUUUCCCUGAGUCAUUUCAUUUUAUUAUACAAAACUUCAUUUGUAAAC